GAAAAAUCUUUAAAGUAAAAACCAAAAACUAAACAGAAAAGAAUAUGGCAUACAACAAAAGUAGGUGUUCUCAAAAUAGUAAAAGGAGUUUCUGUUCCAAACAUACAAGAAACCGUAAUGCAACAAUAUCUAAGAUAUCCUAUGUUAUGGUCAUAACCUGAAUGGACUGGAAAAUUGUUCUGGCAGUAGAAAUUGGAAUGAUAUCUGAUACCACCAAAAUAGCAUCAUCCUUCUUUAUCAUCCCCUUUGCUUUUAUAAGUUCGACUGUUUUCUUAACGUUUCCUUCCAUGUCGUCUGAAAGGUCAGUGAGAAGGGGAGUAACUCCCCAUUGCAAAUUGAGAGCCAUCUGUGUGCUGUUGUCGUUUGUGAAGGCAAAUAUUGGAGGGUUUGGACGAUUGCGUGAGAGAAGAGAUGCCAUCUUCCCAUGCCUUGUGUACACAAAUAUAGCAUCCACCCCUAGGUUGUCAGCCAUUUCCACUGCACAAUGGCAGAUUUGCUCAGCAAUUUGAUCUGGUAAAGAUGCUCCAAGUUUGCGCUGAUGCAAUAAAGUUUGCCUGCUCUCUUCGCGACAUGAUUGUUCCAUUCGGGUGCUAGUUGUACGCAAGACAGAAAGAGCCUUCAUUCCAUA
rnacentral:misc_RNA from 1 species